UAAUACAUGCAAGUCGAACGAAACUCCUUUAUCACCGAGUGCUUGCACUCACCGAUAAAGAGUUGAGUGGCGAACGGGUGAGUAACACGUGGGCAACCUGCCCAAAAGAGGGGGAUAACACUUGGAAACAGGUGCUAAUACCGCAUAACCAUAGUUACCGCAUGGUAACUAUGUAAAAGGUGGCUAUGCUACCGCUUUUGGAUGGCCCCGCGGCGCAUUAGCUAGUUGGUGGGGUAAAGGCUUACCAAGGCAAUGAUGCGUAGCCGAACUGAGAGGUUGAUCGGCCACAUUGGGACUGAGACACGGCCCAAACUCCUACGGGAGGCAGCAGUAGGGAAUCUUCCACAAUGGGCGAAAGCCUGAUGGAGCAACGCCGCGUGGGUGAAGAAGGUCUUCGGAUCGUAAAACCCUGUUGUUAGAGAAGAAAGUGCGUGAGAGUAACUGUUCACGUUUCGACGGUAUCUAACCAGAAAGCCACGGCUAACUACGUGCCAGCAGCCGCGGUAAUACGUAGGUGGCGAGCGUUAUCCGGAUUUAUUGGGCGUAAAGGGAACGCAGGCGGUCUUUUAAGUCUGAUGUGAAAGCCUUCGGCUUAACCGGAGUAGUGCAUUGGAAACUGGGAGACUUGAGUGCAGAAGAGGAGAGUGGAACUCCAUGUGUAGCGGUGAAAUGCGUAGAUAUAUGGAAGAACACCAGUGGCGAAAGCGACUCUCUGGUCUGUAA
rnacentral:rRNA from 1 species